AGUUUGAUCCUGGCUCAGGAUGAACGCUAGCUACAGGCUUAACACAUGCAAGUCGAGGGGCAGCAUGAACUUAGCUUGCUAAGUUUGAUGGCGGCCCGGCCAGGGGUUGAAAAAACGUUUCCACCGGCCGGGGGCUUGGGGAAUCUUUUAAGAAAAAGUAUUAACCGCGAUGGGCUAGUUCUCCGCGAGUGAGAAAAUAUAAAAGCAUCUGGCUCACGGGAGGGGACGCGUUCCAAUGGGGUGUUGGGCGGGGUAACCCGCCACACAACCUUUUGGAGGAUAAGGGUUCUGAGAGGAAGGUCCCCCCACAUUGGGACUUGAGCCCGGGUCCAAACUCCUAGGGGAGGCAGCAGUGAGGAAUAUUGGUCAAUGGACGAGAUUCUGACCCAGCCAAGUAGCGUGAAGGAUGACUGCCCUAUGGGUUGUAAACUUCUUUUAUACGGGAAUAAAGUGAGGCACGUGUGCCUUUUUGUAUGUACCGUAUGAAUAAGGAUCGGCUAACUCCGUGCCAGCAGCCGCGGUAAUACGGAGGAUCCGAGCGUUAUCCGGAUUUAUUGGGUUUAAAGGGAGCGUAGGCGGACGUUUAAGUCAGUUGUGAAAGUUUGCGGCUCAACCGUAAAAUUGCAGUUGAUACUGGGUGUCUUGAGUACAGUAGAGGCAGGCGGAAUUCGUGGUGUAGCGGUGAAAUGCUUAGAUAUCACGAAGAACUCCGAUUGCGAAGGCAGCUUGCUGGACUGUAACUGACGCUGAUGCUCGAAAGUGUGGGUAUCAAACAGGAUUAGAUACCCUGGUAGUCCACACAGUAAACGAUGAAUACUCGCUGCUUGCGAUAUACAGUAAGCGGCCAAGCGAAAGCAUUAAGUAUUCCACCUGGGGAGUACGCCGGCAACGGUGAAACUCAAAGGAAUUGACGGGGGCCCGCACAAGCGGAGGAACAUGUGGUUUAAUUCGAUGAUACGCGAGGAACCUUACCCGGGCUUAAAUUGCAGUGGAAUGAUGUGGAAACAUGUCAGUGAGCAAUCACCGCUGUGAAGGUGCUGCAUGGUUGUCGUCAGCUCGUGCCGUGAGGUGUCGGCUUAAGUGCCAUAACGAGCGCAACCCUUAUCUUCAGUUACUAACAGGUCAUGCUGAGGACUCUGGAGAGACUGCCGUCGUAAGAUGUGAGGAAGGUGGGGAUGACGUCAAAUCAGCACGGCCCUUACGUCCGGGGCUACACACGUGUUACAAUGGGGGGUACAGAAGGCAGCUAGCGGGUGACCGUAUGCUAAUCCCAAAAUCCUCUCUCAGUUCGGAUCGAAGUCUGCAACCCGACUUCGUGAAGCUGGAUUCGCUAGUAAUCGCGCAUCAGCCACGGCGCGGUGAAUACGUUCCCGGGCCUUGUACACACCGCCCGUC
rnacentral:rRNA from 1 species